rnacentral:tRNA from 1 species
GGCGCUGUGGCUCAAUAGGUAGAGCGCUAGCCUUGAGCUAAAGAGCUGAGGGACAGCGCCC